UCUAUGUUUAUUAGAACGAAAUUUUAGUUGGAAAAUUUUGCUCAAUUCAUUUCAUGAAACAUCAUUAAACAGCGAAGGGAAGUGCUGAAUUUCUAUUAUGCGAACAGAAUUCCACAUUUUAUACCAAUAUUCCUAUUCGUGUUCUCGACAUACAUUUUAAUUUGCUAGGUUUCCCUACAAUUUCUGUAUAUCUUUUAAAAUUUUGUCUUGACCAUGAAGAUUAACUUCGAAGAUAAAGAAAUUAUCACUAUACCAUUGGAGUAACUUAUAGUUAGGCGUCUCAAAUUCUUGCUGAUCAUUAUCGUUCGAAUUUUCACUUCCCAUGGGGAUGUAUGAAACGUAUCGCGUGAUUUUCAUCGUCUCUCAAGUGGAUUCGGAGAAGACGUUCCCUGGACACCCCGCGGAGGCUUCUCCUCCCGCGGGAUCAGCAGAGCCAGCUCGAUUAGCUUCUUACUACAUAUCGUGACGACUAUCGCGUGGAAUUUCAGUCCGUCUCGGUGCAGGAAGUAUGUUAGCCUCGCGUCUCAUAAAAAGUUGUCGCAACGGGGAAGAAAGAAAAAGCGAAAGAGAGUAGACGGAGCGAGGACGAUCGUGAGGACGAGCAAACGAGCAGAGAUACAUAUAGUCUUUCUUCGGUUCCUCCUUCGCUCUUCCACGACUACGAUCCCGUUUGAGGCUGGUGAAUCCUAGCCGAUCUUUCUUCUCACCCUCUUACGAUCGAUGCUUUCCUUUGACUCGUUUCUUUUCGUAUUCCGUACGAUCGCCGUUCCAUUGUCUGGUGAAACGGCGGAGAUCGCCCGUCUGGUGAUUAGCAUUCCGCGAGAAACGGAUUCCUCGACGUCGCUGUCGGUCUGUUAACGAUUCCAAGUGUACCGCUCGAGUACGACAUGGAAAGGUGGAUUUAUCGGCUUCCAGAGGUAUUUAGAAAAGUUAAAAUCUAUUUGCUGACGUUAAAAUAAUUAAAACUAUGGGGAAAUUGCUUUUAUUUGACACAAUAUACAGGGGACAAAAAUGUUUCCCUCUUUAUGUGUAAACUUUGCGAAGUGUCGAUAAAUAUGUCCGUUUUACAAUUAGAACUAACGUUUCAUGUCAUCUCUUGGUGAAUUUGCAAUUUUAUAGUGACCAGGAAUAUAGUUCUGUGACCAGGAAUUUCUUCCAGUAUUCUUCCAAGUAUUUUUUCGGCGAUUGUUUUGAUUUAAAAGUGAAUUUUAUUUUAUGCUCCGGAGGAAAACAAGGUACAGCUGGAAAUCACCUCAUCAAAGUAUCUAUUUUAUUGAAUACCAUAUCGAAAAGAGAUAAUGAGAUAUCGUCUAACGUUCAAGUCACAUAGAAACCUGACUGAUCCAUUUCACCGAAAUUGAUCGUUUGAAGUGACAUUUUAAUACAAAAAUUCUGAGAUUUCCAGAAGAUGCAACCAAUUAGUUUAUCUUCUAAAUGACUCGCGCGUAAAGCAAGCAAAGAAGUUGAUCUUUAACGGACAUUCUUCUCGUUGAAAGUAUCCGAGAACACUGAAAGCUAGAAAAAUGUAAUUACAGAGACGUGUUAAGAUCCGGCGAUUUAUCGAGAAAGAACAGCGACAGACGAUAUUAAUUGGCGUGCAGCACGCGUGACAUUGUACCUUUACCCGAGCUUUAGCAAUCGUCCAGCGAGAAGUGGGAACCUAUCGGAACGAGUUAUUCCGGUAUAACUUGCCCGCGCACAAAGAACUGCCCUCAUUAAUAUUGUGUAUUAAAUACAACUCGUUUUCUGCACGACCGAUUUAACGAUUCCCGCGAAACGAUCAGCAUGGACCGUGUUUACCAAACGGAGCGGUUUAUGCUCGUGGGCCGAGUCACGAGACCGUCUUUUCUCGAAUCCACGAUCACCGUUGAAUUAUCGAUCUCAUUAGCCGCUAAUGUUGCUCCCUUUUAUCUACUCCUACUAUCACUCGUUUUACGGGUUCCUGAUUAAAAACUAUGGCCGCGUUUCGUUUGGAGUUCGAACGGAUUGGUAGAAAUGGCGAUUACUGGCGAGAAUUUCAGUAUAACUUAAGUAAAUACAUACUUGGCCGAGAUUUUCGGGGACUGCUUUCUAAAUACUGAGCCGACUGAUAGCCAAUUAAACUUUUGCUUCUUAUCUUUCUAUAUAUGUGAAUGUUAUACGUGUUAAUCUAAUUUAGAACGGGAGCGAAUUCAAUCUAUAUUUUAUAUUUAUGACUAUUACUCGCCCUAGGAAAUUUUCUUCUAAGGAUUUAUAUCGAGUUUCUAUUUAUAUAUAUCCACGGAAGACGAACUGAAAAUGACUCAGAGUUAAUUUGAUUCUCGAAAGAUUAUACAUUAAUUAUGUAUUUUGCUAGUAAAAUAGAGAAAUGUUUAGAUUUGUUCACUCGUUGAUCAUUUGAUGAUCUUCGUGGUCAGCGUAAAAAUUCUCAGAAAAUAGAUUCGUUCAUCAAAUUACAUAGAUUAGAAUCGAAAGGCGUAAUCGUAGUGUGCAGGCUCUUAGAUGGUAACGGAGAUACGUAAAUUAUCUUCUACUAAAGUGUCGGAGGAAGAAAAAAUUGCAAGAUAGAAGUUUACUUGGAACAUUCGAGACCUAAUACAAAUCUAAUUGAAUGUAAUGGCGGAUUAAUCUCAAAUUGACCAUCGACCAUUUCGACGUGCCAUUAAUCGACUCUCAACAAUCACGUCGUAAAUUCCUGCGUCGUACGAGGAAGCGGCGAUCGAAUCGGCGAAGUCGUAGCUGGAAUACGGCCAGUCGUAACAGGCCGCCACUUUUACCGAGCAUUUUCACGGGACGCGACGCACUGUAAAUUCAAGGGACAGACGAGCGUGGAAAAUGCGAGCAAAGAGCGGGAUUUAACGAGAACGCGGGCUACCAUUGAAAUUUACGGAUGUGAAGUGGACAGACGACCGCUGAAUGAACGAAGAACAUGCAGAAGUCUACCAGAACUCCAUGGAAUGGAUCUCGAAUGACUCUGUGACCAUAAAUGCUACACGAAUGCCACUGUUUUAUGAGAUAUGGAACGAUUUGUUGGCAAACACAUGGCACAUUGCGAUGAGGUGUCAAGAAAAUUCUUCUUAUUCUGUUUACUCUUUUUAGUGGACGCUUCGUUUUAUUAAAUUUUUUAGAUGAAUUUACAACAGACGAAUUUGGGUCUUGUGUUUGUUAAAAGACAAUUCAAUUUACAGCAAUCUUUUUUAAAGUCUUGUGCAUCCGAACGAGUGAUAUAUAUAUGUAUUAUGGAUAAACGUGCUAUUUUUCUUUCACAUGUUUCCUGUUUAUUUAUUAUUUUACUCGCGGUGGCUGAUUGUAUAUUAUAUAUGAGCAUAAAAACUGUGUAUCAAUUUGACUAUUAGAAUAGAUCGUCUGAAAUCGGAAAUUAUGCCGAGGUCAGGGUUCAACCGGCAAUAAGACGUCAAGUGAUAACAGAUACUAACUAUUUCGCGAUUAUUUUAGGUUCGGCUGUCAUGCAAUAUUAACCUAAAAAUAAAGAUUGCCUCACGAUCUUCUCACUAGAAUUUAAAUUCUUCUUACUCUUGUCUUCCUUUUCCUAUCAUUUCCGCUUAUGCUUAUAGACAUUCGAUCUAUACUAAUAUCACGCACGGUCUAAUCAGACAAGACAUUCUUUCAAACUCAAACUACCACUAACUCCAGUGUUGAUCGAAGGAAACGUUUCAAUCAACCCCUUCGACUCUCUUUAUCAACCGACCUUAUACAAUUCGCGGCUCGAUGAUGAACAUGUCCUAAUAAAGAACGACGCUUGAAAACGACGAGUACAGCGCGUCGUGGCAACGAUCCGGAAAUAACCGUGACUGUAAAAGUCAGCCACCGGACGUUAAGCGCAUGCAAGAAGAAGAGGAACGUUUAACGGUCGUCGUUGAAAAACCGGGGCAGGUGACUGCCGCAUCCACGGACCGGCUCCGUCGUAACAGCUAGGCUUUAUGGUUUCACGGUUCGAGCCGCACGACUCGAACUAAUCCCGCGAAUUAAGGCUCGUUAAUAGCCAGCCAGAAAUAGCGACCUUUACUUGUGUAAAGUCGCUGGAGAACACCGCGUUUCCGAACGAAACUGCCGCGAAAUUGAGCGAAACCAGCGGAGGAAGAACACGCGUCGCGCUCGACGAAUCAAUUAUCAUCUCAUUUGCCAUGGAACGUGAUUCCAUGAUGGCUCUGAUUGGACGGUGGAUGACACUCGACGGACGUGCACUUGUCGCGAACGCUUGAUUCGUGCUUGUUUUUUGCUCCUUUCGUGUCAUGAUCUUCGUUGAGAGUGGAAUACACGAUGUGUAUGCAGUCGAGAGAUUCAGUUUUGAGUGAUUCUUGACAAUCACGGAGGGAAAUUUUCCUGUUUCAUGUUAUGAGAAUUUAACGACGUGUGUUAGGAAACUAAAUUUUGCGAAAAAUUAUGAGGGUAUUUUAAUAAACGUUUGUCCACGAAAGGAUACAACGAAGGAAUUCUGUCUCUAAUUUCUGUUCCACAAACUUCAAACAAAGUUGCAACUGUAAAGUUCAAGGAAAGCUGCGUCCUUUGGAGAUCCAUUUUCAGAGAAAGUCGUCUGUUCGCGUUAUCCAAUGUAAUCGAGCUUCGAGUAACAGACGGCGUCGAGAAAACAAAUGCACGAGACUAAAGCUGUCCGGAACGACUAUUUUUACUUCGUUUCCCUUCGACGAGACCAAGUAAUCUCUCGUCGAACCUCGCUCCCCAAAAACGCAAGCAAACAUUUCUUUUCAAAGGUUUCAGCUCCAUCGUCCAAUUUUACAUGGUACACAGUGGCUGCAAAAGGUAUUUCCACAUUAUUGUAUUGAUUAUAGUAGCAUCUACGUGUACUAAUUAACUAAAUCUGAGAAUAUUAGAUUUCUCCUUAUUCAGUAGUAUUGUGUACUUUUUACUACAAAAGUUUGGUACUAUGGAAAUAAAAUUUAAAGCUAGGUAGAGAAACGUUUCAUUGGAAAAUUUGUAGCCGUUAUAUUUGAUUUAGAAUAUUAGAAAAAUUUGAAAGAAAUCUUUAUGUGACUUGUCCGAUAAAUUCACUACACUAAAGCAGGCUGAGAAAUAGAGCAAGAGAUAAUAUACGUGUGCAAGAAUGAGUGGUUGUAAAGAAUCUAUGUAUGGAUUAAUUACUGCAAAAGUUAAUCGACGUCGGAAUUAUGAAUCAGAAGUCAAGAGUUUG